rnacentral:rRNA from 1 species
ACAUGCCUACAACAUAGAAUUAAUGCACAAGAUCCCAUUAGAACUCCACAGUUAAGUGCGCGGAUAGAGUAGUACUGGGAUGGGUGAUUUCCCGGGAAGUCGUAGUAUUUUACAUGCC